GCGGCGCAUACCUUCGUCUCUCUCAAACCAAAUCCCUAAUCUCCAUCCUUCGCGUCUUCAAUCCGUAGCCACAGCCACCCACCCCAGUCGCUAGUCCCACAGCCACCCACCGGCCACCCACCCUGCCACCCUUCGCGUCUCUCUCUCACGGCCAUCGCUCGCGUCUCUCUCUCUCAUAGCCGUCGCUCGCGAGACUCUUUUCACUGCUGUAGAACAAAACUUGAAUCGUCAUCUCGUUGGACAGUGUAAGGAGAUACAAACACAGAAGGUGAUUCACAACACCUAGCACAGAUUCACAGAAGGAGAUACAGACAAACCUAGCACAGGUGAUUCACAACACUCUAAAUACUCAAAGAAGGUUCAGUUGCUCAGUCUCACCGUGUUGGUAGAGCUCAGGUUUUUUUUUUUUUAAGAAAAUUUUUUGGUGAGUAAUUUCUGGGUUCUUUCUAGGAUGAAAUUUGGUUGCUGUAAGUGUUUGAAUUAUGCUUUUUUGGGUUUUGUUUCGAGUGUUUUGGUAUUGUGUUUCUGGUAAAUUUUGUUGCUACUUUGAUCUGUUAGUGUUUUGCUGAUUUCUUUUUUCCUUUAGUUUUAGUGCUACAGUUCAUUUGAUGGAUUUACUGCUUGUGGAACUCCAUCUUGUUUAUGUUAUUUGAUUUUUUAUGCUAAACGAGUGGUGCCAAGAAUUAUUUUAGAGAUCUGCUCUUAGUUUUGGGAGCUUCUGUUUCCGAGUUUCUUGUAAUUAUAUUUUUCUUUUCUAUCAUAAUUGUCAGGUUGUACCAGAACUUGGAAAAGUUUGGUGCCCAUGCAAGUGCAUAACACAUUAAUAGGCUAGGUCAAAAUUGUCUAGAUGUUUGUGUUUUUUUGCAGAAUGUAAAACUGGAACCUCUUAGGUUUAAUCAUUUGAAUUUUAUUUGGAGCCAUACAAUCACGACCAAUUUAUUUGGGCAAAAAGUGAAGCUUUACGUUAUUCAAUCAUAAUAAGAAAUCUGAUGAGCCAUAUCUCAUUAUGUGUUAGUAUUCCCUAGAAAUAGGCCAUUUAGUCAGAAGUGGUCUUAGUAAAACAUGCACGGAAGAGACAGAAAGAUUUCUUGUUUUAUUGCUUCUAUAUAUUUUAGCCUUCAGGUUGUCCAGUUAUGUUUCAUGAUAAUGAUUUGCUUGUUCAAAUAUUUACCUUUUUCUU